UAACGCACGUUUCUUGAACACAUUGGUGCCGCUCACUCUUGACGUACUUUUUGUGCAGCUUGUGUUUACACUCUGUAUUGCAUGCUUUUUCCCCCCCAAUGUGCCUACAUAACUGUGCCAUCAGAAUUGCAUUUCUUUACUGAAAAUAUUUACAGUGACUGUUACUAUCUUACUAUCAUUGUAACAAGAGAAAUCUGUGUAGAGCUGCUUCAGCUAUAUGUCUGUUAAGAAACAUUUCUGUGUGAUUUGGGGUUUCAGUUCUGCAACAAAUCAUGGACCAUGAUGGGACCUUACCUACUGUUGCAGAAAAACUGAUGGGGUUAAACUUGCUGAGAGGGCACCUACCUAACUGGUGAGAGCCACAAAGAAGUAAAAUUUAUUUCUCUAUGAGAAGAAGAGAUGAGAGAAAGG